GGGUGCGAUCAUACCAGCACUAAUACAACAAAUCCCAUUAGAACUUUGCAGUGAAGCGUGCAUGGGUGAGAGUAAUACUAGGAUGGGUAACCUUCUGGGAAGUGCUCGUGUUGCACCCC